rnacentral:piRNA from 1 species
UUAUAGAUUGGGCACUGGUUAGAGAUC